rnacentral:rRNA from 1 species
AGUGAACGCUGGCGGUAGGCCUAACACAUGCAAGUCGAACGGCAGCACAGGAGAGCUUGCUCUCUGGGUGGCGAGUGGCGGACGGGUGAGGAAUACAUCGGAAUCUACUCUGUCGCGGGGGAUAACGUAGGGAAACUUACGCUAAUACCGCAUACGACCUACGGGUGAAAGCAGGGGACCUUCGGGCCUUGCGCGAUUGAAUGAGCCGAUGGCGGAUUAGCUAGUUGGCGGGGUAAAGGCCCACCAAGGCGACGAUCCGUAGCUGGUCUGAGAGGAUGAUCAGCCACACUGGAACUGAGACACGGUCCAGACUCCUACGGGAGGCAGCAGUGGGGAAUAUUGGACAAUGGGCGCAAGCCUGAUCCAGCCAUACCGCGUGGGUGAAGAAGGCCUUCGGGUUGUAAAGCCCUUUUGUUGGGAAAGAAAUCCAGCUGGCUAAUACCCGGUUGGGAUGACGGUACCCAAAGAAUAAGCACCGGCUAACUUCGUGCCAGCAGCCGCCGCGG